GUACAAAGCAUACACAGAUUAUGCCCUAGACAUGGGACUAAUCAAAGAAUCCGACUAUGUUAGAAUCAACAAAAUUUAUCCCGUAUGUGAAUUUGCAAUCAAGCUUUGUGGUACUAAGGGGACAAUAUCUUGCUUGGCCUCAUAUCUGGUUUGCAAUACUAUAUUCAGCUCUGUUCUGAGGGUUGCUGGAAACAAAAAUUACUAUGAUAUCAG
rnacentral:misc_RNA from 1 species